AACGAACGCUGGCGGCAUGCCUAACACAUGCAAGUCGAACGACACCUUCGGGUCUAGUUGCGCACGGGUGCGUAACGCGUGGGAACCUGCCCUUAGGUUCGGAAUAACUCCCCGAAAGGGGUGCUAAUACCGGAUAAUGUCUUCGGACCAAAGAUUUAUCGCCUUUGGAUGGGCCCGCGUUGGAUUAGCUAGUUGGUAGGGUAAAAGCCUACCAAGGCGACGAUCCAUAGCUGGUCUGAGAGGAUGAUCAGCCACACUGGGACUGAGACACGGCCCAGACUCCUACGGGAGGCAGCAGUGGGGAAUAUUGGACAAUGGGCGAAAGCCUGAUCCAGCAAUGCCGCGUGAGUGAUGAAGGCCUUAGGGUUGUAAAGCUCUUUUACCCGGGAUGAUAAUGACAGUACCGGGAGAAUAAGCUCCGGCUAACUCCGUG
rnacentral:rRNA from 1 species